UACGUAGGGUCCGAGCGUUGUCCGGAAUUACUGGGCGUAAAGGGCUCGUAGGUGGCCAACUAAGUCGGACGUGAAAUCCCUCAGCUUAACUGGGGAACUGCGUCCGAUACUGGAUGGCUUGAGUUUGGGAGAGGGAUGCGGAAUUCCAGGUGUAGCGGUGAAAUGCGUAGAUAUCUGGAGGAACACCGGUGGCGAAGGCGGGUCUCUGGGCCGCACCCUGACGCUGAGACGCGAAGGCGUGGGGAGCGAACGGGG
rnacentral:rRNA from 1 species